rnacentral:lncRNA from 1 species
CGUUAACCAGGAUGUUCUCGAUCUCCUGACCUCGUGAUCCGCCCACCUCGGCCUCCCAAAGUGCUGGGAUUAUAGGUGUGAGCCACCGCGCCCGGCCUGAGACCAGCUCCCCUCCCAGCUAGGUGACUGAGGAUGACCUGGCACAGUCGUGCUGACUGAAGGCUUGGAGAGGCCAGGUGGCCACCUGAGUGGGGCGUCUCCCCAGGACUUCCUGAACCGUGGCCUCCAGCUCCUCUGUGGACACAGCCAUCUUGGCGUGCACCGUGCCACCUGCCCCGGUCCCCCAGAGGCUGCAUCAGGAUCCUGGGCUCAGCUCAGCGGGGACCACAUCCAGGCUUCCCACAGCCCAGCCACUGCCCGCUCCUGGCCCAGCGCCAGCUUCCCCACCCCCUCCCACUCCACUUCUCCCUCGGCCCCAGGCCCAGCUUCUCUCCUUGCCCAGCCCUGUGGUCCUUACCCUGACAACCUUCUCCCCAGCCACUGUCAUCUCCCCUCUCUCUCCCCCUGGCAGCCCAGCCCCCAGGCCCCCACCUACCUCCUAGAAGCCUCCAAUUCCCCCAACCAGGCAGGUCCUGGGGAGCACAGGCUGCUUCCUGCUUCCGGCUCCACACCACCUGAGGCCUUGGCAACCAGCCCCGCCCUCCCCAGGGCCAGCAGAGGCCGCCCAGCCCAGGGGAGAGGGCCCAGGCCCAGCAGGUGCGCUCCCUGGCUCCCCACUGCUGGAGGCCCAGGGAGGAAGACGCCGGCCUGUGGCUUCUUCACUCCUGAGACUUCUUACCUUUCCUCAGUAUCCCAGAUAUGCAGCUGGGAACACCUGUGUGCUUGGCCACUGCUGACUUCGUGAAUGAAAGAGAGAGAGAUGGGAGAGAAGGUGGGUGGGAGGGAGGGGGAAGGGGGAGAAAACCUACCUGCAUCCCACGACCCUUGAGCAGCUAGGACAGGUGUGCCUGCAUCAUAGAGUUGUCCUUGGAAUCCUCAACGAUUGGUUCCAGCACCUCCGUGGGUACCAAAAUCCACAGAUGCUAUAAACUCCCUGAUAUAAAAUGAGGCAGUAUUUGCAUAUAACCUGUGCAUAUACUCUAUACUUUAAAUCAUCUCUGGAUUACUUAUAAUACUUAAUAUAUUUGGCCUGGCCUGGUGGCUCACACCUGUAAUCCCACCACUUUGGAAGGCCAAGUUGGGCAGAUCACUUACUUAGAUCAGGAGCUUGAGACCGUCCUGGCCAACAUGGCGAAACCCCACCUCUACUAAAAAUACAAAAAUUGGGCCGGGCGCAGUGGCUCACGCCUGUAAUCCCAGCACUUUGGGAGGCAGAGGCGGGUCAGCUGAGGCCAGAAGUUUGAGACCAGCCUGACUGACCAACGUGGAGAAACCAUGUCUCUACUAAAAAUACAAAAUUAGCCAGGCGUGGUGGCACAUUCCUGUAAUCCCAGCUACUAGGGAGGCUGAGGCAGGAGAAUCACUUGAACCCGGGAGGCAGAGGUUGUGGUGAGCCGAGAUCACGCCAUUGCACUCCAGCCUGGGCAACAAGAGCAAAACUCCAUCUCAAAAAAAAAAAAAGAUAAAAAUACAAAAAUUGGUCGGGUGUGGUGGCUCAUGCCUGUAAUCCCAGCACUUUGGGAGGCCGAGGCAGGCGGAUCACAAGGUCAGGAGAUCAAGACCAUCCUGGGUAACACGGUAAAACCCCAUCUCUACUAAAAAUACAAAAAAUUAGCCGGCCAUGGUGGCACGCGCCUAUAGUCCCAACUACUCAGGAGGCUGAGGCAGGAGAAUUGCUUGAACCCUGGAGGCAGAGAUUGCAGUGAGCCGAGAUCUCGCCACUGCACUCCAGCCUGGGUGACAGAGCAAGACUCCAUCUCAAAAAAUAAUAAUAAUACAAAAAUUACCCCGCUGUGGUGGCGGGCACCUGUAAUCCCAGCUACUUGGGAGGCUGAGGCAGGAGAAUCGCUUGAACCCAGGAGGCGGAGCCUGUAGUGAGCCAAGAUCAUGUCACCGCACACCCGCCUGGGUGACAGAGCAAGACUAUCUCAAAAAAAAUAAAUUGGCUGGGUGCGGUGGCAUACUCCUGUAAUCCCAGCUAAUCGGGAGGCCAAGGCAGGAGAAUCGCUUGAACCCAGGAGGCAGAGGCUGCAGUGAGCCAAGAUGGCACCACUGCACUCUAGCGUGGGUGACAGAGCAAGACUCCAUCUCAAGAAAAAAUUGUAUACAUAUAUUUAUUUAAUAUAAUGUAUGCUAGGUAAAUAAUUGUUACAUUGUAUAGGGAACAGUAAGCAAAAAAGUCUGUACAUGUCCAAUAGAGAUGUGAUUUGUUUCCAAAUAUUUUCUGUCUGUGGUUGGCUGAAGCCACAGAUGUGGAACCUGUGGAUACGGAAGGCCAGCUGUACUAGGACUCUUCACUGUCCUUAUUUUCUCUAUUUUACUACUUGAAAAUAUCAGCUAAUGUGGGGCUCU